ensembl:lncRNA HULC hepatocellular carcinoma up-regulated long non-coding RNA
GAGAGAGAGUGAGAGAGGGGAGUCAGCCCCGUCACCCAGGCUGGAUGAGGUGUAGUGACGUGAGCAUAACUCACAGCAACCUCAAAAACUCCAGGGUUCAAGAGAUCCUCCUGCCUCAGCCUUCCAAGUAGCUGGGAUUACAGGUGUCUUUGUGAAGCUUCCUAUCUUUGCUUUUCAACUAAGAUGAAACAGCAUUUAAAAGAAAAUGCCAUGUGAGAUGAGAUCAGGAGAAUGGAUUCUUUCUUUCAUCUGAAUAGAGAGCUGCUGUUCGAGAUUCUAACUCAAAUAGCUCAAAGGACACCUUCUCCGGGAAACCUUCCCUGACUUCCGACGCUGUUUCCUGUUACCCAUGAUGUACAUUAGAACACAGCAACUAUUUGAGUGAAAUAAGUAUUUUUAUUUAUUUCAAGAGGAAAGCAAAGUCGAAGGGUGUUCAGUGCAGAGCCAGGAGAGGACACUAUUGGAAAACAGAGAUGUGAGAAAACCCUAAAACAUGGUGUACUCAUGCCUGAACUUAGCCUGUCUUUCACAGCAAGGCUCAUCAUUUCUGGGUUUACUACAGAACCUCACCGUGUACAGCAGGCCUCCUAUAGAAAGGCUACAGUUUUGCUUGACCAGAUGUUGCCAAGUUUCAAAGUCAAAUCGGUUCAUCUCCUGGCUAUCAGCUAAAGGGUGUUGUAUUUGUAAGCAUUGAGAACUUCUAUCUACUGCUAUUGUAUUUUGCAUAUUUGUAUUUUCUGAGUUCUAUUUGAGAGAGACGGAAUUACGCAUUUCCAUAUGGAUCAUCCUCUUCCCUAUGUAUGUUGCUUUAUUGCCUUUUGGAAGAAAAAAAGUGAGAGUUGCAGUCUGUAUUUAGGCCAUUUCUAUGUUCUUUAUUGGGUUACGUUUGAAUGCCCAAUUUGAUCUCAAUGGCACGUCCUUUGUAACAUAAAAUAAAACAUGGUGCUCAGGAAAAGUAACGACACACACAUCCAGGCCCUUUCAUAGCAGUUGGUAAAGCUUAAGCCUUGCCUCUCUGUGUGGUAGUUUCCCUUCCCUUUCUUUUCGUUCCCUGUGACAAGCAGCCAUUGUCCCCUUGGUGAGAUCUGCAAUAUUACUUUGACCCCAGCCCAUCAAUCUGCCUCAAUUGGAUAAUGAUCUGUAAUCACGUUCUUUCAGGGGAGUCUAUAAAUUUGCCAAGGCCCCAUUCUCUUCUGAAGGACUCCUUAUGUUCACUCCCAUUUGUGCAAAUGUGCUCUCUUUUACAGGGCUAAAUAGCCAUGCACAUGGUCCAUUCUGUGAGGAGGCACCGGGCGGUUCUCUGUUGAUUUUCCACGCUCUAGUCUCUUAAAGGAGACUAAGGCUGACAUGCAGGGACACAGUGGGGGGGUGGCCCGAGCCAGGCCACAUCACAGGCAGCCGCUUUUCUCAUUAAGACUGACCCAUCAUUAGGUCACUUUGUGCCAUCCUUGUAAUCAAUGAGCUUAAUGUUUAGUGCAAAAAAAAAAAAA